rnacentral:piRNA from 1 species
UCCCACGUUCUGCAGAAGGAUGCCUUCCUU